CCUACGGGAGGCAGCAGUAGGGAAUUUUCGGCAAUGGACGAAAGUCUGACCGAGCAACGCCGCGUGAACGAAGAAGUAUUUCGGUAUGUAAAGUUCUUUUGUUUGGGAAGAAAAUAAAUUGACUGUACCAAACGAAUAAGCUCCGGCUAACUACGUGCCAGCAGCCGCGGUAAU
rnacentral:rRNA from 1 species